UGGUCCUAACCUUGUAAUCAAUUAUUACUUAACUUAUACAUGCGAGUAUCCGCACCCCUGUGAAAACGCCCUUACUUUUCCCCUAGAAAUGAGGAGCUGGUAUCAGGCACAACCUCCAGCCCAAAACACCUAGCUUUGCCACAUCCACAAGGAAAUUCAGCAGUAAUUAACAUUGAGAAUAAGCGUCAGCUUGACUCAGUUAAAGUAAAGAGAGCCGGCAAAUGUGGUGCCAGCCGCCGCGGUUACACCACAGACUCAAAUUGACUAUUUUCGGCGUAAAGCGUGAUUAAAGUUAAUUAAUAAUUAUAGUUGUAUUCUAACUAAGCCGUGACACGCUUGUUCACAAGAAACUCAUAAACGAAAGUUACUAUAUUCUACCAACUUGAAUCCACGACAGCUAGGACACAAACUGGGAUUAGAUACCCCACUAUGCCUAGUCGUAAACUUUAAAUUACACUACCAUCGCCAGGGAACUACGAGCCAAGCUUAAAACCCAAAGGACUUGACGGUACCCCAUAUCCCCCUAGAGGAGCCUGUCCCGUAAUCGAUAACCCCCGCUAAACCUCACCAUUUUUAGCUUCCCAGCCUAUAUACCUCCGUCGUCAGCUUACCUCGUGAGCGCAAUUUAGUGAGCUUAAUGUAUAUUCAUCAGCACGUCAGGUCAAGGUGCAGUAAAUAAAAUGGGAGGAGAUGGGCUACACUCUCUAAUAUAGAAAAUACGAAAGACUAUUUAUGAAACUUAGUCAGAAGGCGGAUUUAGAAGUAAAAAGAGAUCAUAGUGCUCUUUUUAACUCGGCACUGGGGUGUGUACACACCGCCCGUCACCCUCUUCAAAGCCAAUAGACAGUAACUAACCCACCUUAGCAUUUUUAGAAGAGGCAAGUCGUAACAUGGUAAGCGUACCGGAAGGUGUGCUUGGAAA
rnacentral:ncRNA from 1 species